rnacentral:rRNA from 1 species
ACGGAGGCAGCAGUGGGGAAUAUUGCACAAUGGGGGAAACCCUGAUGCAGCGACGCCGCGUGAGUGAAGAAGUAUUUCGGUAUGUAAAGCUCUAUCAGCAGGGAAGAAAAUGACGGUACCUGACUAAGAAGCCCCGGCUAACUACGUGCCAGCAGCCGCGGUAAUACGUAGGGGGCAAGCGUUAUCCGGAUUUACUGGGUGUAAAGGGAGCGCAGACGGCAAGGCAAGUCUGAUGUGAAAGGUGGGGGCUCAACCCCCAAACUGCAUUGGAAACUGUCUGGCUAGAGUGCCGGAGAGGUAAGCGGAAUUCCUAGUGUAGCGGUGAAAUGCGUAGAUAUUAGGAGGAACACCAGUGGCGAAGGCGGCUUACUGGACGGUAACUGACGUUGAGGCUCGAAAGCGUGGGGAGCAAACAGGAUUAGAUACCCUGGUA